CAGCACAGAUCAUACAACCACUAGAGAAGAUAAAGAGAGAGAUUAGGUUGAGAAAAAGGGUUUGAUUUUGAUUUGGUUUUUGUGGGAUUGUUUUGUUUGGGUUCCAAGAAAAUAUGGCUGUACAAGCACAGUUUCCUUUGUGUGGCUCACAGGAUUGGAUUGACAAUGGUUGUGGAGUUGGGCUUAAAUCAGUUUUGUUAUUCUUAUCUCCAACAAGAACAACAGCAGCUGCAGCAGCAACAAUGCAAUAUCCAGAUGGUUCAGAAUUAGCCGCAGAAGAAUCAAGAUCUUUGCUUUGAUAAUACCUUCUUGGUUCUUUUGCUAUGAAAACCACCAAUCUUCACCCUUCAAUGGCUUAUUCUCAAGGUAUCGUUGCCUAUUUAAAAUCUCGGGACUGGAGGAGCUUCUCAGCGAUGCCGAACAAGCGUUCUGCUUCAGCUCUGUUGAAAUUUUCUUUAUUAAUUGGUAAAGCAAUGAAACAAAACCAUGGAUUGCCCGGUUGAUUCAUUCUUGA
rnacentral:lncRNA from 1 species